UCCUCGGUAGUAUAUCGGCUAGUACACCCGCCUGUCAUCCAGAUGCGUAGCUUAUCUACCGCGGGAGAGCGGGGUUCGACUCCCCGCCGAGGAG
rnacentral:tRNA from 1 species